rnacentral:rRNA from 1 species
AUUAAUAAGCGGAGGAAAAGAAACUAACCAGGAUUCCCUCAGUAACGGCGAGUGAAGCGGGAAGAGCCCAGCACCGAAUCGCGCGUCGUCGUGGCGCAGCGAACUGUGGUGUUCGGGACCGGCGCAUGCGCGUCGGUCCGGCGUCCGAGUCCUCCUGAUCGGGGCUUUGCCAGAGCGGGUGUCAGCCCUCUACGGCGCCGGACCGUCUCGCCCGCCACGUCCUCGGAGUCGGGUUGUUUGAUAAUGCAGCCCAAAGCGGGUGGUAAACUCCAUCUAAGGCUAAAUACCGACACGAGUCCGAUAGCGAACAAGUACCGUGAGGGAAAGUU